rnacentral:sRNA from 1 species
UGCAUAUCAAUAAGCGGAGGAAAAGAAACCAACAGGGAUUGCCUUAGUAACGGCGAGUGAAGCGGCAACAGCUCAAAUUUGAAAGCUGGCCCUUUUAGGGUCCGCGUUGUAAUUUGUAGAGGAUGAUUCGGCGAGGGCUCCUGCCUAAGUCCCCUGGAACGGGGCGUCAUAGAGGGUGAGAAUCCCGUAUGCGGUAGGUUGCCUUAGCCAUGUGAAUCUCCUUCGACGAGUCGAGUUGUUUGGGAAUGCAGCUCUAAAUGGGAGGUAAAUUUCUUCUAAAGCUAAAUACCGGCCAGAGACCGAUAGCGCACAAGUAGAGUGAUCGAAAGAUGAAAAGCACUUUGGAAAGAGAGUUAAAAAGUACGUGAAAUUGUUGAAAGGGAAGCGCUUGCAACCAGACUUGUCCGCAGUUGCUCAGCCGGUCUCCUGACCGGCGUACUCUUCUGCGGCCAGGCCAGCAUCAGUUCGGGCGGUCGGAUAAAGGCCUCGGGAAUGUGGCUCCUCUCGGGGAGUGUUAUAGCCCGGGGUGCAAUGCGGCCAGCCUGGACUGAGGAACUCGCUUCGGCAAGGAUGCUGGCGUAAUGGUUGUAAGCGGCCCGUCUUGAAACACGGACCA